GCCUGGGUGGCUCAGUCGGUUGAGCGUCUGACUUCAGCUCUGGUCGUGAUCUCCACAGACCGUGGGUUCCAACCCCGCAUCGGGCU
rnacentral:tRNA from 1 species